rnacentral:rRNA from 1 species
GACGAACGCGGGCGGCGUGCUUAAUACAUGCAAGUAGAACGCUGAAGGAGGAGCUUGCUUCUCGGUUGAGUUGCGAACGGGUGAGUAACGCGUAGGUAACCUGCCUGGUAGCGGGGGAUAACUAUUGGAAACGAUAGCUAAUACCGCAUAAGAGUAGAUGUUGCAUGACAUUUGCUUAAAAGGUGCAAUUGCAUCACUACCAGAUGGACCUGCGUUGUAUUAGCUAGUUGGUGAGGUAACGGCUCACCAAGGCAACGAUACAUAGCCGACCUGAGAGGGUGAUCGGCCACACUGGGACUGAGACACGGCCCAGACUCCUACGGGAGGCAGCAGUAGGGAAUCUUCGGCAAUGGACGGAAGUCUGACCGAGCAACGCCGCGUGAGUGAAGAAGGUUUUCGGAUCGUAAAGCUCUGUUGUAAGAGAAGAACGAGUGUGAGAGUGGAAAGUUCACACUGUGACG